rnacentral:sRNA from 1 species
CCCAGGACUUACGUCCUGGGCUAUUUUCAGUCACCCCUCCGGGGCU